rnacentral:rRNA from 1 species
CACGUAGGGUGCGAGCGUUGUCCGGAAUUAUUGGGCGUAAAGAGCUCGUAGGCGGUGUGUCGCGUCGGCCGUGAAAACUUGCAGCUUAACUGUGGGCUUGCGGUCGAUACGGGCAUCACUGGAGUUCGGCAGGGGAGACUGGAAUUCCUGGUGUAGCGGUGAAAUGCGCAGAUAUCAGGAGGAACACCGGUGGCGAAGGCGGGUCUCUGGGCCGAUACUGACGCUGAGGAGCGAAAGCGUGGGGAGCGAACAGG